rnacentral:rRNA from 1 species
GAUGAACGCUGGCGGCGUGCCUAAUACAUGCAAGUAGAACGCUGAAGCUUGGUGCUUGCACCGAGCGGAUGAGUUGCGAACGGGUGAGUAACGCGUAGGUAACCUGCCUGGUAGCGGGGGAUAACUAUUGGAAACGAUAGCUAAUACCGCAUAACAGUGGAUGUUGCAUGACAUUUACUUAAAAGGGGCAAUUGCUCCACUACCAGAUGGACCUGCGUUGUAUUAGCUAGUUGGUGAGGUAACGGCUCACCAAGGCAACGAUACAUAGCCGACCUGAGAGGGUGAUCGGCCACACUGGGACUGAGACACGGCCCAGACUCCUACGGGAGGCAGCAGUAGGGAAUCUUCGGCAAUGGACGGAAGUCUGACCGAGCAACGCCGCGUGAGUGAAGAAGGUUUUCGGAUCGUAAAGCUCUGUUGUAAGAGAAGAAUGAGUGUGAGAGUGGAAAGUUCACACUGUGACGGUAUCUUACCAGAAAGGGACGGCUAACUACGUGCCAGCAGCCGCGGUAAUACGUAGGUCCCGAGCGUUAUCCGGAUUUAUUGGGCGUAAAGCGAGCGCAGGCGGUUAGAUAAGUCUGAAGUUAAAGGCUGUGGCUUAACCAUAGUACGCUUUGGAAACUGUUUAACUUGAGUGCAGAAGGGGAGAGUGGAAUUCCAUGUGUAGCGGUGAAAUGCGUAGAUAUAUGGAGGAACACCGGUGGCGAAAGCGGCUCUCUGGUCUGUAACUGACGCUGAGGCUCGAAAGCGUGGGGAGCAAACAGG